rnacentral:misc_RNA from 1 species
CUCUUUCUUUCCUCUUCUGCUCUAUCCUCGCUUGUGCACUCAGAAGAACCAAAAGUUUCAUCAUUGUAAGAGUCAUGAGUGUCCCUACGUGAGUGAGGUACUGCCUUAUAAGGACGAGGUGGGUGAUAUGGCUCAUUACUCCUAUUGAGCUGGUAGUGAUCAUUAGCUCGAAACUUUGGAGCCGAUGACCCUGCAGCAUAUCCAGAUGGUCUUGGGAAAGAACCACUUCCAAGGAGUCCAUCAUGUUCAGGAACUUGCCAGGAUCGCUGAGAUUGAUUGCCAUAACGCUUUCCAGAAUCUGAAUCCCAAUCAGAUUGUGAGUCACUGUCAUGAUCACUCCUUCCAGAGGAAGGACUAUCCCACCUUCCAUGAAUUCCCCUGGAAUAAUUGCUCAUAUCCCCUCUAGUGGGAGGCGAUGAACCAUGUUCAUUGCGUCUGUAAUUUUGCAAUGAUAAGCUGCCAGAAAUUCUGAAUCUAUCCUGUGGAGUAUCCUCAAACUCACUAAGAAUCGAUUUGUGGAAUCCACUAGGUAAAUUUUUGCAAACAUCCAAUUCACGCAACGAUAGUAGAAAAUCUCUUGUAUAAGAAAUUAACUUCUUUUCUGAUUCGCGUCUUGCUUCAGCGUGCUGAUUGAGUCCAUGUUGCUCUUCAUUUUCUAAACUCAUUUUGCUAAAUUAAUUUUAACAACCAAACACAAUAUGAUCGGUAUGGUUCCUUUGACUUCAGAACCCACUUGUCACCACACGUUAACUCAAAUACAAAAUCCAGCAUCCGCUAAACAAUACCCAUAUAUCCUGACAACAUCCAAAUAAAACCGAGCACACCUAUCACCGCCUUCAAAAAUUAUCCCUGCACAACACUGUUACUCAUUCUAAUCCCGCGUAGCAAACUGAUAAAAUUUGGCUGUUUUAGGGUAAGCAAUCCUUCAAUUAUUGCUCAGCUACAACCCUUUAAAACGCAUUCAAUCAUAAACGGCACGAAUCAAGGGGGAAAAAAAGCCAAAUACCAGCUGAUGUCAAGCUAAGUUCAUCCUCUGAUCCAGCGCAAUCGAC